rnacentral:lncRNA from 1 species
AGGGUUCUUGGUCUUGUCCAUAACCGUGGCAAAUCCCAGCACCUCUCUCUUGCUAAUAUGAACUGUGUUUUGGCUCUAUCCAGGUCUGGGACCUGUUAGAAGUGGUCAAAGCCCUGCAUCUCUGCUACUGCAAUUGACUCCACCACCAGCCUCCAUCCUUCAGGGACCAUGCAUCACUGUUCUACCAACCACCCCACAGACUGUCAGACCUUUUGGGAUGAGACCACAUCGGUGGUGCCUACAUUGGGUGAACCUCUUCAGACUGUGAUUUGGACAGCACACCAACACCCAAAGGUGCCAGUCUUACAGACUGGUUGGUUCUUUCCAUACUGCCAGGGCUCUCCUGUCCUACUGGGUUCCUGCAGGACCCUAACGUGCCUGACAGCAAACAUCAAAAUUAAUAGGACUGUCACUGCUUCAGCAGGAAGACAAAAUCCAGCUCCUCCCACUUCCAACUGGAUGGUCUGUGGCCCAGUCAGACACCUUGCCUUGCCAAAGGCCACACAGUGAGUUGGCAGCAAAACUAAUGUAUGAUCCCCAGCCAUCUUUCUUCCCCCAGUGCCAUGCCAAAUGCAUCUUGGUAG